GGUAGAGUAACGCGUGAGUAACCUGCCUUACACAAGGGGAUAGCCUUUGGAAACGAAGAAUAAUACCCUAUAAAACCAUAAAAGCACAUGCUAGAAUGGUCAAAGUGAUAGCGGUGUAAGAUGGACUUGCGUCUGAUUAGCUAGUUGGUGAGAUAAAAGCUCACCAAGGCAACGAUCGGUAGCCGGCUUGAGAGAGUGUACGGCCACAUUGGGACUGAGACACGGCCCAG
rnacentral:rRNA from 1 species